UACGGGGGGUGCGAGCGUUGUCCGGAAUCACUGGGCGUAAAGGGCGCGUAGGCGGUGCGGUAAGUCUGCGGUGAAAUCUCCCGGCUCAACUGGGAGGCUGCCGUGGAAACUGCCGUGCUUGAGUGUGGGAGAGGUGAGUGGAAUUCCUGGUGUAGCGGUGAAAUGCGUAGAUAUCAGGAGGAACACCAAUGGCGAAGGCAGCUCGCUGGGACGGUACUGACGCUUAGACGCGAAAGCGUGGGGAGCAAACAGG
rnacentral:rRNA from 1 species